UUUGAGAUAAGCCCUGGGAAAUGAUUCAGGGUAAGAAAGGAAUUGUGGGAGUCUAAAACUGAAAAUAACUGAACUAAACUUCCAUCUUGGAUUUCAUCUCUCUGCCUACAUUUCCAUCAAGCUGAAGAUGGGGGUUUGCUCUAAAACAUUCUUCCUGGAUAGCCAAGAUUUUGUGGAGAAAUCUUUGACAUCUAGGUAGAGGAUUAUUUGGAGGAAACCAAUUUUCCCUGAGUCUAAAUAUCAUCUUCUAGUGGUUCAGCUGCCAGAAUUCCUCUUGGCUAAGAUCCAAAUAAAGAGAAGAUGGUGAGAUUGGUUCUGAACACUUGCUCCACUGGAAAUGGAAGUUACCCACAUCUGUUGACUGAAUGUGAGCAUUGACAAAGAGUGGCCAUAAAGAACAGCAGCAGUUCUUCAGACGUGUGGGACAACAGUCUUCAGUUUGGUUGUCAAGAUGAAUGAGGUCACCUGGAUAUUGUUUAGACAACUGCAAGGCAGAGCAAUAUGACCCAGGACUGGUGUCAGAUCUCAAUACAACUAUAAGGCCAGGGGCAGCUGGAAACUCUUAAGCAUUAAAAACAACUGAGAAAGUAA